UCUUUAAUUUGCUUUUCUUCUACCUGCUGUAGUUUCUACGUUCUGUUUUUUUCUACGGUAUUUUCUCAACUUCUAUUUCCGCCUGUGCACAGUUCUGGUAUAGCUGCGUAUUGGUUCCACUCAUGCUCUAAGAGAACCCUGCUAUCUCAAGGAGCGUGACACUUCCUCUGUAGCGGCAUGCAUUGUCUGAGGUUAUCGAAAUGAGUCAGAACCGUUAUUCUUUCAGAAAUAUAGGGCCUCAUAAAAUCAUUCCCUAUGCAGGUAUCGUAAUCUUAUACCCACGGAUAACUUGGAGCAUUAGGAUUCCAGGUGUCUCUGCGUAUCUCAUAUAAAGGGGUCAAAUAUAAUUUAAGAACCGAGGUUGUCUUCAUCGUUUACGUUGGUAAAUCCAUGAAGACCUACCAAAGUAGCGUUGACUUGCAAAGGGCUAUAUCGCAGCUUCAGGUUAUGUUAAAAAAACCUUAAAAAUACUGAAAUAUACCUUUUGGCCCCAAUCACUAUCUUAUUAUCAUCGCUAAACAGUUUAUCAGGUUUCAACGCUUAGACCUGUGCCUGGUAAGUUGCCACCAACUCCGCUUUUAAAAAAUAAGGGCUCAAUGAGAAAGUAAUAUAGUAUCAGAAAGUAGCUUUAGUAGUAAUCACAUUGUCUUUCGCGUUUACAUGCGAACGCCCACUUGGAGUGCAUAUGUUCGCGUCUGAAUCAAGAAGGCAACCCUGAUACAAAUAUCAGCGGAGUGCGGUUAUUUGACUCCAGAUAUUCGCAGAAUAACAGAGCUUUUUCCUUGUUUUUUAUUUUAUAAUAUGUAAUUUAUUAGUCCUAUUACCCCAACUACUAUAUAUAUCCCUGAAGACUGGGGGCCUCACACAAUUAAUUGAGAUAGUUGAAUUAAUAUUAUCUCAUGGAGUUAAAAAUUGUAUUGAUCGAUGGCCAAAAGCGUGUUGCGAAUUUCAUUAAUCAUGUCAAGUUGAUUUCCUAAGUUAGAUGAGGCCCAGCCCGAGUUUUCCAACCUAACUUUGCAUCUCUUGAUUCGACAUUUUUCACAACUGAGUCACGACGAGAAGUCAGGUGUCCCCCUCAAGCUAUAG